CCCCAUGAAGGAUGGUGACCCCAUCUGUCCUGCAAACGUUGAGCCGACUUCAUUACAAAAAUACCCCAGGACUGAUGCCAGACCUAAUGAGUAUCUUAGACCACUUGGAAGAAGAAAGGAUAUUUUUGGCUGUGGGUAAUUGAACUUCACUUCAAAUUAGAAUCUAAGCUGUUAUUUUCUCUGUACUGGAUCCAAAUCACUCAAAUUCCUGAAAUCCGUCCAUGAUUGCUCUCUACCUGAUGCCAAAAUGUCCUGAUGAAAAGUGAAAUAUUAAGCCAGCUUUGUGAGUUCUCUGUCCUAAAAUCUAAAGGCUCAGCUCUUUGGCAGGCCAGCUGAAGAGUCAACUGAUGCUCGCACUGUGGAUUGGGAAGUCUCAGAACCAUGCAGAUGUGCUUAGCUGCCGAUGAUACGAUUCUACACAUAAGAGACUCUGAAGACUCCACUGGAAAACUUUUAAAACUCAUAAGCACUUCCAGCAAAAUGGCAAGGAGUGAGCAUGUGUAGGGGCCAAGAAACUAAAAAAGGACCCAUGAGAUAAAGAGGCCUUCAAAGAGAAGAAUGGGAGAACAACACAGCAUGUGUAAUUUGAAAAUGGAUGAGGGACGCCUUUAAUCCCAGCACUCGGGAGGCAGAGGCAGGACCAAACCUAGGGAAUUGUGCCACCCACAGUAGGCUGGUUUUCCCUGUAUCAAUUAACAAUCAAGACAAUCUCCCAUAAACAUGCCUGCAUGACAACCUGAUCCAGAAAAUUCCUCAUGAAGACUCUCUUUCCAGCCACCCGCGAGCAUGUCAAGAGGCAAGCAUGUCGAGAAAAGGAUCGUUAACUGUGCCAAGAUCCUCAGCAGUGUCCCAGCAUCCACCAGGCUCUCCUGCUCCUGAGCAGCCUGGGCUGCCGGUCUGACGGAGCUUUGCAGAACAAAAUCCCCUGUGCCCACCACUGUUUCUGCUCUCCCAGAAACUCUUUCUGAGAAGUUGUAUCUGGGAAGGCUUGGGCUGGGUCAUCCCUGAGUCAUCCUCCCUGGACGCAUAGUUCUCAACAUUCCUAGCACUUGGAAUAAGACAGGGACAAAGCUGGGUAUCUGCCAGAUAUGUAGUACGACCUCCAGGUCCUCCCUAUAACUACCAGCUGUGCUCAGGAGAACAAAGCUAUGACCACGGCAUCUUAGACAUCAUCCAGAGAUGGUUGUGAGGAAAGAAUCCACAACUCAUGACAGUAAAGAUUGAUGCUGUUAUUAGCUCCCA